rnacentral:rRNA from 1 species
GGGGACGUCUUCGGAGCUGACGAGUGGCGCACGGGUGAGUAACGCGUGGAUAUCUACCUAUUAGUGGGGGACAACUUUCGGAAACGGAAGCUAAUACCGCAUAAUCUCUACGGAGGAAAGCAGGGGACCUUUCGGGGCCUUGUGCUGAUAGAUGAGUCCGCGUCUGAUUAGCUAGUUGGUGGGGUAAAGGCUUACCAAGGCGAUGAUCAGUAGCUGGUUUGAGAGGAUGAUCAGCCACACUGGAACUGAGACACGGUCCAGACUCCUACGGGAGGCAGCAGUGGGGAAUAUUGCACAAUGGGGGAAACCCUGAUGCAGCGACGCCGCGUGUGGGAAGAAGGCCUUAGGGUUGUAAACCACUUUCAAUUGGGAAGAAGGGAUGAGAACUAAUAAUUUUCUGACUUGACGGUACCUUUAGAAGAAGCACCGGCUAAUUUCGUGCCAGCAGCCGCGGUAAUACGAAAGGUGCAAGCGUUGUUCGGAUUUACUGGGCGUAAAGCGAGUGUAGGUUGUUUGUUAAGUCGGAUGUGAAAUCCCGGGGCUCAACCUCGGAACUGCAUUCGAUACUGGCAGGCUAGAGUUCGGGAGGGGUAAGCGGAAUUCCGUGUGUAGCAGUGAAAUGCGUAGAUAUACGGAGGAACACCUGAGGC